CAGCAGCCGCGGGAAAACGUAGGGGGCAAGCGUUAUCCGGAAUUACUGGGUGUAAAGGGAGCGUAGACGGUUAAACAAGUCUGAAGUGAAAUGCCGGGGCUCAACCCCGGAGCUGCUUUGGGAACUGUAGAACUGGGGUGUCGGAGGGGUAAGCGGAAUUCCCAGUGUAGCGGUGAAAUGCGUAGAUAUUGGGAGGAACACCGGCGGCGAAGGCGGCUUACUGGACGACAACUGACGUUGAGGCUCGAAGGCGUGGGUAGCAAACAGGAUUAGAUACCCCCGUAGUCCCUGUCUCUUAUAC
rnacentral:rRNA from 1 species